UCAGUUUGAUUGUUUAGUCUCAAUCAAGUGUUCGGUUUCGCUCUGUUUUUUUGUGAACAAUGACUUAAUUCCUCAAGUUAGUGUCGUUCGCAGGCCGUGACCUUUCGUCGCGACCUCCGGAGGUCCGGAAGGGACGGCCGAAGGUGGGAUUUGGGCCUGAAAACGGUCCCAAUCGACCGCAAUCUCGCGUCCAAGGAAGGAAAGCCACCCUGACCUGAUGACCUGAAGGUCCAAGGGGCAGCUGAGGAGGCCAAAAGGCCGUUCGACUGAGGAAUCUCACCUUCGAAUUGCAUUCGUCUUUGGCGUGUUCGUCCUUUGACCCUGAAAUUUACCCUGAUUUGUCCACCCUGGCGUCGACCCUCAACGUGCGGAGGCCUCGCCCUGCCUCAGGCCAAAGCAGCUCACAAGAGUCGGAAUAAGAAUACAAAAAUGUGGCCCAACUUUUCAUGAUUUUUCUCUUUCCACUGAAAAUGAAAUACUCGGUGGUGCCAAAAUCGGAGGGACCGUUCUGCGUCGACACCCUGGCCAUGGCCAUGACCUGCAGCCAGCGCAGAUCUUCAAAAAGGUUCUGGACAUCCUCGUCGUUGCCUGGUCGGGGCCACGUCCCGACACCACCCUCGAAGCUGUAGUGGGCAACAAGCACGAACACGCUUGAAAAACACGAAGAAAAUGAAAACUAAUUUAAUGAUAAUUAAAUUUUAAAAAAAAUGCUACUUUUCCGCGUUACUGCGCCUGUCAAAAAACCCCAGCUUUGUUGGUCCCUCGGGAGAGCCUUGCCGAAAACCUAGAUUUUUGAAAUUGAAUUGUAGAAAAAUAUAAGAGUCGUAAAAAUAAAAUUGCACAAACCAUUAUCCACAGCUUUAUUUAAUGUAUGACUUAUUGGCAUUUUUGUUUGGCGGCCGUCAACGCCGAGGAAUCAAAUUUCAGCAAAUCAUUCAACUGCAAAAAAAAGGAAUCGAUUUUUUAUAGUAAACAAAUGAUAUUUAAUAAAAGAAAUAAUCUUUAAAAUAAAUUUUAUUUAUGAUUUGUUUUCCAGGUAUUGAUAGAUGUCAAUAACUCUGUCCAUGAAAGCGAGCUAAAACCCGCGGGGACCCGUCGGGACCGAGUCCCGUCAAACACUAUUCUGCACCACUUAUAAAGAGGGCACAGGCCGACAAGACUUUGUCUUGGCCUGACCCUAAAAAAAAUCUUUUUUCUCUUAAAUAAACUAUUGUUUUCAAAUAUUGUAUGUAAACAAUGUAAAAAAAUGAA